rnacentral:miRNA from 1 species
UGCUGGUUUCUUCCACAGUGGUA